GAUGAACGCUGGCGGCGUGCCUAAUACAUGCAAGUCGAGCGAACAGACGAGGAGCUUGCUCCUCUGACGUUAGCGGCGGACGGGUGAGUAACACAUGGAUAACCUACCUAUAAGACUGGGAUCACUUCGGAAAACCGGAGCUAAUACCGGAUAAUAUAUUGAACCGCAUGGUUCAAUAGUGAAAGACGGUUGUGCUGUCACUUAUCGAUGCAUCCGGGCCGCAUUAGCUGGUUGGGAAGGUAACGGCUUACCAAGGCGACGAGGCGUAGGCGACCGGAGAGAGGGAUCGCCCACAUGGGAACGGAGCCACGGACCAGAGUCCUACGGGAGGCAGCAGUCGGGAACCUGCCGCAGUAGGCGAAAGCAUGGCGGAGCAACGCCGCGUGAGAGAUGAAGGUCUCCCGUGCGUAAAACUCGGUUAUGAGGUAAGAACAAAUGUGUAAGUAACUGUGCACGUCUUGACGGUACCUAAUCAGAAAGCCACGGCUAACUACGUG
rnacentral:rRNA from 1 species